AUGAAAGGGAUGUUUUGGAAUGUUAGAGGGAUCAGGCAGGAUAUUAAAAAGAUUAUUAGGGAAAGUAUUAUGGAGAACCAUUUCGAUUUUGUGGCUUUACAAGAAACCAUCAAAGGGGAUUAUUCAAAGAAUGAACUUCAUAACCUUUCUGGAGGGAAAAAUUUCCUCUGGAAAUGGAUUGCUCCUAGGGGCAAAUCUCGAGGAAUACUAUUUGGGGUUAAUAGUGAUAACUUUGAGUUGUUACAAGUUGAAAAAGGUACUUACUUUGUAAGGUUGCUCUUAUUUGACAAAAAAAGUUAA
rnacentral:rRNA from 1 species